GAUGAAGAACGUAGCGAAAUGCGAUAAGUAAUGUGAAUUGCAGAAUUCAGUGAAUCAUCGAAUCUUUGAACGCACAUUGCGCCCGCCAGUAUUCUGGCGGGCAUGCCUGUUCGAGCGUCAUUUCAACCAUCAAGCCCCCGGCUUGUGUUGGGGACCUGCGGCUGCCGCAGGCCCUGAAAACCAGUGGCGGGCUCGCUAGUCACUCCGAGCGUAGUAAUACAUCUCGCUCAGGGCGUGCUGCGGGUUCCGGCCGUUAAAAAGCCUUAUUUACCCAAGGUUGACCUCGGAUCAGGUAGGAAGACCCGCUGAACUUAAGAAUAUCAAUAAGCGGAGGA
rnacentral:misc_RNA from 1 species